rnacentral:rRNA from 1 species
UACGGGGGGGGCAAGCGUUGUUCGGAAUUACUGGGCGUAAAGGGCUCGUAGGCGGCCAACUAAGUCGGAUGUGAAAUCCCCAGGCUUAACCUGGGAACUGCAUCCGAUACUGGAUGGCUUGAAUCCGGGAGAGGGAUGCAGAAUUCCAGGUGUAGUGGUGGAAUGCGUAGAUAUCGGGAGGAACACCAGUGGCGAAGGCGGGUUACUGGGCUGAUACUGACGCUGAAUCACGAAAGCUAGGGGAGCAAACGGG